UCCAACACUCUGCUUUCCCGUUUCAUUAAGGUUGGAGAUCAUCCAGGAUAGGAUCCAAAGAGAUCUUUUGAAGGAGUGGAACUGGACUGGGGGGGAGAGGGUUGGUGUCACACACACACACACACACACACACACACCACUUCCUUUCUCCUUAGCCUGCUUCGCUCUCUGAAAAGAACAAGCUUUCACUGUGGAUUUCUUCAGUGAGGCCUCCGCCAGGACUUGGCUCUGCCUGGAAUGAGGCUAUACCCGGAAGAACCAGCGCAAUGGCUCAAGUUCUGUGCACCUCUUGGAAGAAAGUGUUCUUCACACAGUCAUUACCAUGAAUAGAUCCAGAAGGGACAAAAUGCCGACUGCAACCUUGAGAGACCAGCCAACAGUGUACCGGAAUACAGCCGAGGGUAGAGUUUGCCAAGUAGCCCAUGCUUGCCCCAUUCGGGCCAGCAUGCCCUAUGGAAAGAAGGAGGCUCUGCUCAGCUCCCCACAUCUGUUGCCAGAAGGACAAAACUUACAAUUUUUAAAGAAAGAAAAAAACGGCAUCUGUGUGUUUUAUAUAUGUCUGCUCUGUUUGCCCUGACAAUAAAUUUUUCUUAAACUAU